rnacentral:lncRNA from 1 species
ACACAUUUGAUUGGGUUUCAUGGAUGAGAACCACUGCUUUCAGUGUUGUCAAAUAACCAUUUUCAAAAAUAAUAGAGUUCUUCCUAUAUCUUUCUUUAAGUAGAAUUUUUGAAUCAUCUUUAUGGUGAAGGUAAAUCUUCCCCUGAAAUGGCAGAAGUUUUUUUGCUUGAAUUGACCAGUCCUUGUAUACUUUUUGCUAUUUGUCAUGUUACAAAGUCUGUAAAUAUUUUUACCAACUGAUAACAAAAUCAAAAUGUCCCCCUGACCUGUAUCCAAAAACAUAUUCAUUUGCUAUUAGUCAUGCUUUUUCUAGCACUACUGGGUCAAAAUGACCUGUUCACUGGAUAUAGUGUCAGUGUGUCUUACGGAAUUCAGGAAGAGAAACUGUGAGGAUUAAAAUCAGAAUGAAAAGCGUAUGUUGAGCCUCACGUGAAGCAACGGUGUUUGAAUAGUCUCUUGUGUAGGCUUCCAGGCUAUUGCCUUGCUCAUGAUCAUAGUAAUCUUACAAAAUACCUUCUCACAGAAACAAAGGUAAAUAAUAAAAAACCUAGACUGGCACCUGUGAGUCCAGGUGUGAGCUGCAAAGCUGUUACAGCUGAGUGUUUUAAACACUGAUGGUCAUAAAUCCAGUUCAUUGUCCACUAACCACAUACUGUCAUGUCUUGUCAGGACUCACUUCAGGUUGCAACUGGAAUAUGGGAAAGGCUUUAUUUCAGGUUACCUGCAAACUCUUCUUGUGCUCCCUGCCCUUGCCUUUGAGCCUGGCUAAAUUUGAGGGAACCUCGGUGGGCAGCCAGUGCAGAAAACAGAAGUCUUGUGUUUGGCAAGAGCAGGAUUAUUUCCUAAUAGAAAGUCAAUUGUCUUUUUAACAACAGCAAGGACACGAACUCAGCAACAAUGAAACCAUUCCUUGCAUAGUCACAUGAAAGAAAGAGAAGUAAAACAACGAAUGCACUGUAAAUUAAGAUUAUACUAAUCAUGGUGAUACAGAAGAGGACUGAAAAGGGAGGUAUCAGAUGCCUCUCAAGGAGGAUCUUGGAGCAUUUUAAACCAACAUCACCUCAGAGCUUCUCAAAAUCCCAGUUGCUGGCAGAAGAUCCAAGUGGUAAAGAAGAGAAGUUGUGUAUUGGUGUCGUAAUUUUGCAGAGCGUCUGCUGCUUGUGUGUCUCUGCAGGUGUGUCAGCAGGAGCUGUCAGGAAAGGCAGUGUUCCUUCUACAUUUGGUGUGAGGUUUCCAUGCAGAGCCCUUUGUGAUCCUACCAGUAACGGCUAAAAACACGAUAAAAAUACACACAAACUGGUUUGGCUUCCAGUUAUAGGUAAUGCUUUAUCCUGGGGCACAUCAAACCCAAUGAGCUCCCCCUGAAAGGAGCGGUGAGUCUGAGUUUCAACACCUGGUGAUAUUAGGCUGGGACUGCAAAACUCAGCUGUCUGUGCAGGGCUUAUUUUUAGGCACGGGUGAGAUUCAGUGCUUAAUGCUGCUGGACACUGCUAAUAAAUCUGGGUAAGCAGCAGCA